rnacentral:tRNA from 2 species
ACAUCGUUGGUGAAACGGUAUCAUGCAUCGUUGCCAUGUUAUGAACUAUCGAUGCGGCAAGGGUUCGACUCCCUUACGAUGUA